UGGGGAAUAUUGCACAAUGGGGGGAAACCCUGAUGCAGCGACGCCGCGUGAAGGAAGAAGUAUUUCGGUAUGUAAACUUCUAUCAGCAGGGAAGAAAAUGACGGUACCUGACUAAGAAGCCCCGGCUAACUACGUGCCAGCAGCCGCGGUAAUACGUAGGGGGCAAGCGUUAUCCGGAUUUACUGGGUGUAAAGGGAGCGUAGGCGGUCUGACAAGUCAGAAGUGAAAGCCCGGGGCUCAACUCCGGGACUGCUUUUGAAACUGCCGGACUAGAUUGCAGGAGAGGUAAGUGGAAUUCCUAGUGUAGCGGUGAAAUGCGUAGAUAUUAGGAGGAACACCAGUGGCGAAGGCGGCUUACUGGACUGUAAAUGACGCUGAGGCUCGAAAGCGUGGGGAGCAAACAGGAUUAGAUACCCUGGUAGU
rnacentral:rRNA from 1 species